rnacentral:rRNA from 1 species
CCUACGGGCGGCAGCAGUAGGGAAUUUUGCGCAAUGGGCGAAAGCCUGACGCAGCAACGCCGCGUGAUUGAUUAAGCCCUUCGGGGUGUAAAGAUCUGUCAGUGGGGACGACACUUGACGGUACCCACAGAGGAAGUACCGGCUAACUCCGUGCCAGCAGCCGAGGUAAUACGGGGGGUGCAAGCGUUGUCCGGAAUCAUUGGGCGUAAAGAGUUCGUAGGUGGCAUAUUAAGUCUGUUGUUAAAUGCCGAAGCUCAACUUCUGUUCGGCACUGGAUACUGGUAAGCUGGAAUGCGGGAGAGGUAAAGGGAAUGCCUGGUGUAGCGGGGAAAUGCGUAGAGAUCAGGAGGAACAUCGGUGGCGUAAGCGCUUUACUGGGCCGUAAUUGACACUGAGGAACGAAAGCCGGGGUAGCAAAUGGGAUUAGAUACCCGUGUAGUC